CCUACGGUGGCUGCAGUGGGGAAUAUUGGACAAUGGGCGAAAGCCUGAUCCAGCCAUGCCGCGUGUGUGAAGAAGGCCUUCGGGUUGUAAAGCACUUUCAGUGGGGAAGAAAGCCUUGGGGCUAAUACCCUCGAGGAAGGACAUCACCCACAGAAGAAGCACCGGCUAACUCCGUGCCAGCAGCCGCGGUAAUACGGAGGGGGCGAGCGUUAAUCGGAAUUACUGGGCGUAAAGCGCGCGUAGGCGGUCUGAUAAGCCGGUUGUGAAAGCCCCGGGCUCAACCUGGGAACGGCAUCCGGAACUGUCAGGCUAGAGUGCAGGAGAGGAAGGUAGAAUUCCCGGUGUAGCGGUGAAAUGCGUAGAGAUCGGGAGGAAUACCAGUGGCGAAGGCGGCCUUCUGGACUGACACUGACGCUGAGGUGCGAAAGCGUGGGUAGCAAACAGGAUUAGAUACCCCGGUAGUC
rnacentral:rRNA from 1 species